rnacentral:rRNA from 1 species
GAUGAACGCUGGCGGCGUGCCUAAUACAUGCAAGUCGAGCGAAUGGAUUAAGAGCUUGCUCUUAUGAAGUUAGCGGCGGACGGGUGAGUAACACGUGGGUAACCUGCCCAUAAGACUGGGAUAACUCCGGGAAACCGGGGCUAAUACCGGAUAACAUUUUGAACCGCAUGGUUCGAAAUUGAAAGGCGGCUUCGGCUGUCACUUAUGGAUGGACCCGCGUCGCAUUAGCUAGUUGGUGAGGUAACGGCUCACCAAGGCAACGAUGCGUAGCCGACCUGGGAGGGUGGUCGGCCAAACGGGGACUGGGACACGGCCCAGACUCCUACGGGAGGCAGCAGUAGGGAAUCUUCCGCAAUGGACGAAAGUCUGACGGAGCAACGCCGCGUGAGUGAUGAAGGCUUUCGGGUCGUAAAACUCUGUUGUUAGGGAAGAACAAGUGCUAGUUGAAUAAGCUGGCACCUUGACGGUACCUAACCAGAAAGCCACGGCUAACUACGUGCCAGCCGCCGCGGUAA